GGUCAGCAGAAUGAGGAUGGCAUUUCCUACCUUCUACUGCAGGUGGGCAGAACCAAGGUGCCCUCCCUACACCUUCCUGGGGCCUCCAGCGAUCCUGAGCUCAGCCUCCUGACCUGCAGACCCCUCAGCUCUGGCCCUCACGUCCUGCUUGCUGUACCUGCUUUAUCCCAUAUCACCAUCUCCAUUCCUCAGCAUAGUGACAAUCCCAGUUCCUACCCAUUCCACUGGCUUCUCCAUUUGGCUUGGAGCUCUUUAGCUGGAUUGAGACGACUACUCUGAUGAGUGCCAUGUCACUGGCUCAACAAAAUGGGCCCAAGUGAGUCAAUGUCAUUGACAUGAAGGUGCUGUCAGUUUGGUGGGAACCAAGGGAAUGAGACUGUGUUUUAGCUGCGUUCGUUUGAACAGUUACACACUUAGGGCUUCUUAUGCGGAUGCUCAGAGAGAAAUAUGGAAGACGAGAUCUCGUAGAAAACAAGAAGACAUGUUGUAAAUGAGUCAGGCCUCCUGGAGUCCAGGACUAGGGAGGAACUCUUUAUUGAGGAUCACUCGAGGGAGUCUUGGGGCUGGUGGUCUUCACGCCACAGCCCCAUAACUCAGCUCCUCUCUUCCUUCUCUCAGUCUCUCUGCUUCUGUUUUUUGUCUCAUGUCCUAAAUGUCCAACUAUUCAGCAUAACUUUAUUCUGCUUCCCCUCUCUAUCCUCUGUAGCAAAAUGCACUGUUGGAAUUACAUUUUUAUUUUUAUUUUUAUUUUUAUUUUUUUAAGACGGAGUCUCACUCAUUGCCUAGGCUGGAAUGCAGCGGUGUGAUCUCGGCUCACUGCAACCUCCACCUCCAAGGUUCAAGUGAUCCCCUUGCCUCAGCCUCCUGAGUAGCUGGAACUACAGAUGCCUAACACCAUGCCCAGUUAAUUUUUAUAUUUUUAGUAGAGAUGGGAUUUCACCAUGUUGGCCAAGGUGGUCUCGAACCCCUGACCUCAGAUGAUCUGUCUGCCUUGGCCUCCCAAAAUGCUGGGAUUACAGGCAUGAGCCAAUGUGCCCAGCUGGAAUUAAAUUAAUAAUUUUUAUUUCUGCUUUAGCGAGAGAGGCGGUGACUCACUGAUACAAGGAAGAUAUUUCCCCUUCCAAGGGUGAUGUAUUCAGCUUUUGGGUUUAAAAGGAGAUGCUAUCAGGCACGCGUGGCUAUCCUGGCAGAUUACAUAAAAAUACAGAAGAAAUGUUCUUUGUGUUAAAAGAAUAAAAAAGAAAAAACAAAACGUGUUUCCUCAAAAACUUAAAUACAGAAUUACCACAUGACCCAGCAAUUCUACUACUGGCUAUAUCCCCCCAAAGAAUUGAAGGCAGGAACAUGAAUAGGAAUUUGUAGAACCAUGUUUAUACCAGCAUUAUCCACAGUAGCCAAAA
rnacentral:lncRNA from 10 species